CCUACGGGCGGCAACAGUCGAGAAUCAUUCACAAUGGGGGAAACCCUGAUGGUGCGACGCCGCGUGGGGGAAUGAAGGUCUUCGGAUUGUAAACCCCUGUCAUGUGGGAGCAAAUUAAAAUGAUUGUACCACAAGAGGAAGAGACGGCCAACUCUGUGCCCGCAGCCGCGGUAAUACAGAGGUCGCAAGCGUUGUUCGGAACCACUGGGCGUAAAGCGUGCGUAGGCGGUUUCGUAAGUCUGGUGUGAAAGGCGCGGGCUCAACCCGCGGACGGCACAUGAUACUGGGAGACUAGAGUAAUGGAGGGGGAACCGGAAUUCUCGGUGCAGCAGUGAAAUGCGUAGAUAUCGGGAGGAACACUCGUGGCGAAGGCGGGUUCCUGGACAUUAACUGACGCUGAGGCACGAAGGCCAGGAGAGCGAAAGGGAUUAGAUACCCUAGUAGUC
rnacentral:rRNA from 1 species